UACGAAGGGGGCUAGCGUUGCUCGGAAUUACUGGGCGUAAAGCGCUCGUAGGCGGUUUGUUAAGUCGGGGGUGAAAUCCUGGAGCUCAACUCCAGAACUGCCUUCGAUACUGGCGAUCUCGAGUUCGGGAGAGGUGAGUGGAACUGCGAGUGUAGAGGUGAAAUUCGUAGAUAUUCGCAGGAACACCAGUGGCGAAGGCGGCUCACUGGCCCGAUACUGACGCUGAGGUGCGAAAGCGUGGGGAGCAAACAGG
rnacentral:rRNA from 1 species